rnacentral:rRNA from 1 species
GACGAACGCUGGCGGCAUGCCUAACACAUGCAAGUCGAGCGAGCAGAUCCCUUCGGGGUGAAGCUAGCGGCGGACGGGUGAGUAACACGUGGGCAACCUGCCUCAUAGAGGGGAAUAGCCUUCCGAAAGGAAGAUUAAUACCGCAUAAGAUUGUAGCUUCGCAUGAAGCAGCAAUUAAAGGAGCAAUCCGCUAUGAGAUGGGCCCGCGGCGCAUUAGCUAGUUGGUGAGGUAACGGCUCACCAAGGCGACGAUGCGUAGCCGACCUGAGAGGGUGAUCGGCCACAUUGGGACUGAGACACGGCCCAGACUCCUACGGGAGGCAGCAGUGGGGAAUAUUGCACAAUGGGGGAAACCCUGAUGCAGCAAUGCCGCGUGAGUGAUGACGGCCUUCGGGUUGUAAAGCUCUGUCUUCGGGGACGAUAAUGACGGUACCCGAGGAGGAAGCCACGGCUAACUACGUGCCAGCAGCCGCCGUAAUAC